rnacentral:rRNA from 1 species
AGCAGUCGCCGCGGUAAUACAGAGGGUGCAAGCGUUAAUCGGAAUUACUGGGCGUAAAGCGCGCGUAGGUGGUUUGUUAAGUUGGAUGUGAAAGCCCCGGGCUCAACCUGGGAACUGCAUCCAAAACUGGCAAGCUAGAGUACGGUAGAGGGUGGUGGAAUUUCCUGUGUAGCGGUGAAAUGCGUAGAUAUAGGAAGGAACACCAGUGGCGAAGGCGACCACCUGGACUGAUACUGACACUGAGGUGCGAAAGCGUGGGGAGCAAACAGGAUUAGAUACCCGGGUAGUCCCUGUCUCUUAUAC